GCAUUGCUGAAGAGUCCCAUACUAGGACGAAACGGCCGUUCAAUGC
rnacentral:hammerhead_ribozyme from 1 species